AAGAUUUUAAGUUAAAAAAAAUAAACUAUUAAUCUUCAAAAUUAAAAAUAAAUAUUUUAAAUCUUA
rnacentral:tRNA from 1 species